CAGGGGGCGCUGACGUCAGGCGGGCCGGGCCGGGCCGCGCCGCCGCUCGCUGCUCCUUUGGCCGCCGGCGGCCACCGUAGGCGGGAGCGGACAGCGCCGCUGCCUAGCAACGGGCCCGAGGCGCCGCCACAGGGGGGAGGCCUGAGGUGAUAUAAAUGAAUAACCACAAUACUAGUGCAAAAAAACCAAGUGCAGUGCAACCAAAGACAGUCCAUGGAAGUUCAUAGUUGCUCAGCUGCUUUAAGUAGACGAUACCAGCAGUUCUCUGGAGAGAUGAAGUGGAUGCAGUUACAGACAGGAAUAGAUUCUCAGCAAAGGAAGAAAUCCUCCCAUUCCAGGAAUUAGUCAUUUGCAAGCGGAUUUGGGCAACUGAAGAUAUGAAAUAUGUACGGAAGAUAUUCCACUAAAUACGACCUCCAUGAAUAAUGUUGGAAAGAUUUGACUUGAGGUGAUAUCUCUGGGGGGUAUAUACACUUUCACAUCAUGUUUGUUUCACACUGCAUGCAUUGUGCUACGUAAAGCCCAUCCCAUUAUGCCACUGCUUCUUUACAAAUUGUCUAAACUUCUUCCGACGCAUUCACUUCCUUUCUUCAAUAAGGAGCCUUUUCUUCUAGCCCUUAUUUGGUUUCCCAAUACAUUACAUAACAGGCAUAACCCACCAACCUUUGCAAUCAAUUACCCUAGCAACAAAUGAUAAGAUUCUGUAAUCAGUAUUUAUUUCACUACUUGCUGUACCUACUUACUCAUCCUUUGCACUAGGAAAUCCAGUUCUCUCUGCACCCCUGAGCUCUGCAAGCUAUUACCAUUUAGAUAACGAUCUUUGUCAUUUUUCAUGCCAAAAUGGGCCAUUUCACAUUUUCCCACAUUUAACUCCAUUGCCAGCUCUUAAUCUGUUGAAUAUCGCUUUGCAGCCUCCUCAUGUCCCUUCACUAAUUGCCUUCAUAUCUUUUUAUGUAUCGUUAGCAAAUAUAUCAACCAUUCCUUCAUCACGGUGAUUUAUACAAUUUGUACAAGGUUAAGGCCCGAGCACUGAUUCCUGUGCUAAAUGGAAAAAGACACAUUUAUGCUUAUUUUCUGUUGCCUGUUAGCAAACUUCUACCCUUGUUAAUAUAUCACCCCUUUUAUUUUCUGCAAUGAUCCCUAUUGCAGCAACUUAUCAAUGUCCUCUGAUAUUCUAACUACAGUAUAUUCGAUUCUCUUUUAUCUAUACUACGUGUAACUCUAGCAAAGAACUCGAAUGAACUGGUCAAACAUGGUUUCUCUUUCACAAAAACAUGUUGUCUUGGGCUGAUUACCAUGAAUCUUUCUGUAAUCCUUCUAUAAUCCUCUACAGAAGGGUAGAUAAUUGCUGACAUGCACUAGAUUAUACCAUAAUGGUUAGAAUGCUCACUGUCAUGAGAAUAACUGAGGAAACGAGUGGGAGCUAUAAAACUGUUGUGUUUGACGCUUUUCCUCACUUGGCUUUGCUGUGGAUAUGUUGGUUGGGAUGAAGGCUUGUACAUCUCCAUGGGCAAAGCGUAAAAUGGGAACUAUUUUCUGCAGCUACCCAGGGGAGAGUAUUCUACAGUCCCUGCCGAUUAAUGGAGUCAAUAGACAAUAGACUAUUGCAGGAGUAGCCAUUUGGCCCUUCGAGCCAGCGCCGCCAUUCAAUGUGAUCAUGGCUCAUCAUCCCCAAUCAGUACCCCGUUCGGGCCUUCUCCUCGUAUCCCCUGACUCUGCUAUUUUUAAGAGCCCCAUCUAGCUCUCUCUUGAAAGCAUCCAGAGAACCGGCCUCCACCGCCCUCUGAGGCAGAGAAUUCCACAGACUCACCACUCUCUGAUAGAAAAAGUGUUUCCUCAUCUCCGUUCUAAAUGGCUUACUCCUUAUUCUUAAACUAUGGCCCCUGGUUCUGGACUCCCCCAACAUCGGGAACAUGUUUCCUGCCUCUAGCAUGUCCAAGUCCUUAACAAUCUUAUAUGUUUCAAUGAGAUACCCACUCAUCCUUAUAAACUCCAGAGUGUACAAGCCCAGUUGCUCCAUUCUCAAAAGCUUUUGUGACGUUGAUAAAAGCUGUGCAAAAUGGAGGGGAGAGCUGCUGCUUGCUGCAGUAUUCUGGGAGUUGUCACGUCAUGAAGAUGUGGAGCUAAACUUCAGACCACGCUCCAGAAUCAAGGUCAUCAAACAGCAUUUGCGUAUAUUGGAAGGCCAAGUUACAAGUCAUCAUUGGAUAAUUCACUGAAGCAUACUCGAGGAUUGGCCUUACACUCAACAUUUGCAGGAUGUGGACUCACAGUGAGACCCUGGGAAAUGUGGCUUCCUUUGCACCAUUGCUACUCCAGAAACACAGUUACUGCAACCCGAGUUGUUGAGCUACAGUGUGCAGACAUAUGUCAUUGUGAGGCUCAGCUCCAAAUCAUUGUUGACUUGUUCAGUGAAGCUUUAGAGAGAAUGGGUCCUGCACUUAACAUCUGCAGGAUCAUCUGCCUCACUGCACAACAACAAAGGUUGACAGCAAGACCCGGAAAACAUCCCCACAUCUCAGAUGUCACCUCUCAGCAAAGGCAGGCAUCGAAGCUGAAAUCCGCCAGCACACUCAAUGCGGCAGCAUGGUCUUUGGUCAUUUGAAGAAAA